AGGAUCAGUAACUAGUGGCAAGCCAGCACUUGUAUCAGUGGCUCUAGUAGUUGGUAGAGAAAAGGGAAGCAAAUUAGUAUCCUGAGAUAGGGUAGGAGGUGCAGCAAUAGGAGCCUUGUUCGAAAACAAAGGAGGUGCCAUCUCUGAAGCUAGGGAAGGAGAUGGUGCUGACUGCAACGUUGAUUGGAGGCCUGAAGACAGCGUCAUAGGUAAACCAGUAAAAGGCAAAGAACUGGGUGCUAGAGCUUGAGAACUGCUACUAUAAGGAAACAGUGACGAAGGUGGUUCCGGCAAGCUUGAGCCCUGCAAAUUUGAUGAGCCAGCAGGUGGAGGGGCAUUAAAGUUAGGAUACGGAAUGGGUUGCGGCAGGGAACCGGGCAUAGGCAGCCCAUGAGGAGGCCGAAUCAAAGACUGUUGAUGCAACUGGGGAAGGCCAUUGGGAGGUGGGGUGUAGUAUCCUUGCCAAUACAUUGGUGGUUGAGGUGAGGCUCCCCAAGGAGCAAGAUUUCCACCAGGCUGAUACAAAGGCAUUGAGUUUUGGAAUCCCAUCCCAUGCUGCCCAGGUUGUCCAUUAUGAGAACUAAUGUCAGGCAUUGAACUGCUCACGGCGGGAGGCAAGCCACUAGAUGUUGGGAUCGGGCUAGGAUAAUGAGACUGCAAAACAGAGACAAUCGGGGCAUGAAGACACAUCUCUACAAGAUUACUCUACAACAUCUCCAUUAUAUUCACCUGAAUUAUAGCAGGAUCAUUGUUUAAGGUAGGUGGAGCUGGAGGCUGAACUGGUGGAGAGGCUUUGACUUGCAAAUCCUGCCAAUAACAAGAAGAGUCAGUGCACAAACAGAGAUAGUUACAUCAAAGCAUACGCACAAUCCUGUUUGGAUACCUUGAUAUCGGUUCCACGGAACAAUAUGUACUCAUAAACUUUCUCACUUGGAGGAACUUGAGGACCAUCUUUUUUCCUUCCUUCAGUUCCAAAUGAUCGGACUACAUACGUUGAAAAUCACACAGAUCAGUACAUACUAAGCUUAUUCAAAGAUUCACCAACAGUUUCAAGACUUUGAUUACAAUCUGAUGAGCUUAGAUAGUAGACAUGAGCACAACUUAUUAAUGAAGAUCCAAUCACAAGAGCACACAGGGAUAGAUAGAGCAUAAGAGUUAUACACUACACAUCUAACAAUCCUGAGACGGAAUCGUACCGUUUUGAAGUCCGAUACUGGAUUCAUCGGUGUUGAUGUUGUAAAGGAUGCCUUCGUAUCUGAUCUCGCUCUUGGAAGUCAAACUAAUCAAGCUCCCUACGUAAGAAUCUGCCGAGGAGGAGCUCGAUUUCGCGCCCGUGUUAUCAGUCGCCAUACCGGAUCUAUAUCUCUCUCUUUCGCCAAAUCCACAAACAAAGAGAGAGAGAAAUAAACCAGAGUCGAGAAAGGGCAAAGCAAAGAUCCCCUUCGAGAGAGAAAGCUACAGACAAUUAGGGUUUACUCUGAUUUGGGGGAGAUGAGAUCGAGAGAGAGCAUCUCUUUCUGAUUAUCCGUAAAAAAACCCCCAAGAAAAUAUGUAUAUUACCAUAAUAGCCUCGUCUAGUAACACUAGCUUUCAUCUUCUAACUAAUUGUAGACCGCCACGUGUCUAAGUACGGAGGGCCUCGCCGUCAUUCACCAAUGAUGUUCUCACAGCCAGUGGGCUACGAGCCACUCCAAUUGCACGGCUCGUGUUCGUAUUGAUUAGCCUGUAGGCUGUAUUUACAAGUGUAACCCUGUUCCUGUGAAUAAUUUACGCUCGGAGCCUGUGUUGAUUGGUUCCGUAAAACGACUGCGUUUAAGCUUAGCGACAACCACGAAGACGCACAACAAAGCCACUGAUUAGCCUUUUUCUUAUGAAGCAUUGUGCUUUAACAUUUUUUUUUAAUAUUCAUGCUGCUUUGAUACAUAACCUAUUGUUUUCUUGUAUUGACUUUUCUUGUAAAGAGCUUAUCUUCCUGUUCAAUACUGGCAACUCAGGAGAAGACCAAUACAGUUUAAUGAGGCUAACUAAAUAAAGACUUUUUUUAUUCACUGAUCUUUGUUGUUCUACAAUUACACAAACCGAGAAUGACAAAAGAAUCAACGUGUAUUGCAAACUGGAAUACAGUUCAUCAUCAUGUUCAGAGUUCAAAACCACUCCGUAUCUUCCAAGUAUAAUGGUUCUUCUGUCUCCUUGUUAAGUACUAUACACAGAAGGAGUUUACUUCACUCUGCUCUACUGGGAGAUAGAGAGAGUGAAAGUUAGAACGGACUGACCCAGUGAGCCAACUUCAACAUGAAUUCAGGCACAAGACGCCUUCUGUCUACGCUUUUACCAACCACUUCUGAGUCGCCUCCCAGGACCACUGAUACUAUAUCUUCAAACAUCUCAUCUACUCCACCUCUCAUUGGAUCCUAACAUAUAUAAACCAAGUUUCUAGAUCAAAUAUUCAGGUUCUUUUACGAAUAGACAUUCAAGACCUGCCAUUUUGUACCUGAAGAAACAGAUCCGUGUGUGUUUUCCCCUCGUAAAGGAUCACUUCUGCUUUACCUCCAAGUCUCUGGAGGGUUUCCGCAAAAGAUUUACUACAAAAAAAAAAAACAACGCACGAGAAGUUCAAUCACCAUAUCAACCACCUGAACUACAUGAGACAAGACAUGCACACACAAGGCUAUUGAAGUUUAGCCAUACCUUGCAUCUGAAGGGAUGGAGUAGUCAGCAGUACCAUGGAAUAGAAUAAUAGGUGGGAGACGAGCAAUAAUGUGUUUAAGAUUUGGAUUUUGCACUACUAGUUCAGGAGAAAACUGACUUAAUGAUUCCUCUCCUUCCAUGAUGCUGCGGAAAACAAAAGUCACACGUUAAACCUUAGGUUGCUCUACAGGUCAGGUGAGCAUCUUAAGCUAUUCCAAGAUUUGAUAUUAUACCUCAGGAAAAUGGAACGAUAGAGUCCCCUGCUAUGGAAGUGAUCUACAAGGCUCAGAAGGUUGUACCUGUAAAUCAUGAUCACAGAAAUUUCAAAGGAAAGUAAAACAGAUAAUUGUUAAGUGUAAAACAUUUUCUAUAACUUCUUAGUCUUUAGUUGGAUAUAAGACAUGAAUCUACUUGCUUCAUUAAGCUGCUCUUUGAAAUAACGCUAUGCGAUUAUCUACAACCAUUUCACGAAAAUUACUCGAAAAUAAACUUGUUUAUAACAGCUUAUUGAGACGUCUCAAUUCCAUUAUUCCAAUGUCAUUAUGAGAACUCACCAAAUGUCUGGAAUCAUACCAAAUACCGUUUGUCAAAUGUCAAUGAGUUUCUCUUCAGAUUCUGGAACUAAUUAUGUCCAGCCUGCUUUUUGACCGAAGAAAUAUACUAUAGAUUGUACCUCAGUAUCUAGUUUACGUAGCUCUGAGAACCUAGGCCUUGCAUUUUGGGAAUCUCGGUCCCCGGAGUUUGAUGAUAGGCUAUCGAAAAAGUCGUCUUUGUUGUAAACAGGCUACAUCAAUAAAACAAUUAAGGCAUAUGAGACCAGAGAGGGGGAUGGAACAUGGCGGUUUUACUUUAUUAUAAGUUUACUUGACUUACUUUGACCUCGACCUUAGGCAGCUCAGGUUCAUCAACGAUUGGGAAAUCAUCAUCACCAUCACCAUUGGUGCUCUUCCCAAGAUGACCCCAAACUUCAUCCUUAUUGAACUUUUCAUUCAUCGCCGUGAAGUCAAAAUCUUCAGUGAACUUCAUUACCUGGUGUGAUCGCUGCCAACAAGGAGGAUUAUUAGCAUACUUGGCUAUGAUUCAUGAGCUUACUUUAACUAGUAGAUGUUAGCAAAAACCAUUAAAUGCCUCGACACAUUCUAAAAAUGAGAGAGAAGAAUAUUACCCCUGCUCCUCUUCCCCUUCCUCUCCCACGUCCCCUGUAACCAUUAUAGGUUGGGAAGGAAUGCCCGUUUGGCUGAGAAAAAAAAAUCAGCAAACGAGAUCAACUAAUCAUCAAACAAUGAAGACUUGUAUGUAGACAUUCAAGAAGAAAUCUAAUACAGACCAAGGAAGGAACCAAGAGAGAUUUUCAUGCCUCUUUUACAAAGAAAAAAGAGGCUUAGGAUGGGUAUUACCACAGGUGCAAAUAUAACAGCUACAGGUUAUUCAAGCAAAUGGAAGAUCAUAUCAAGUUCGUUACUCCUCAAAAAAAAUUCUCUAGAAUUCAAGGGUCGUUCUCAUAUCAGUAAGUGAAGUAGCAAAUAUCGUUUAAAGGGAUGACAAGCAACUAAAUAGAUUUGGAAAUUUGUGUAAGUUCAAAACCUUAUGAGUUGGCCUUGCAGAGGAAGGCAAUGGCAGUAUUGGGGGUUGGGCUUCUGAUGUAACUGAAGCAGAUUGUUCCAAAGCAGCUGAUGAUGAUACUUGAACCACCUCAUCAUCUUUACCAGCGUUGUUAGAGGGUGGGGACAAAGAGACUGACGCAGAUCCAGACUGCAACAGUUGGCCAGGAGUAACCAACAAAGGUUUUGGCUUAUCUUGGCUGAUGGAACUAGAAACUUUAGAAUCAGGAGCAGAUGCUAAUGGUGUUGCCUGUGGCACAGAUAUAGGAUCAGUAACUAGUGGCAAGCCAGCACUUGUAUCAGUGGCUCUAGUAGUUGGUAGAGAAAAGGGAAGCAAAUUAGUAUCCUGAGAUAGGGUAGGAGGUGCAGCAAUAGGAGCCUUGUUCGAAAACAAAGGAGGUGCCAUCUCUGAAGCUAGGGAAGGAGAUGGUGCUGACUGCAACGUUGAUUGGAGGCCUGAAGACAGCGUCAUAGGUAAACCAGUAAAAGGCAAAGAACUGGGUGCUAGAGCUUGAGAACUGCUACUAUAAGGAAACAGUGACGAAGGUGGUUCCGGCAAGCUUGAGCCCUGCAAAUUUGAUGAGCCAGCAGGUGGAGGGGCAUUAAAGUUAGGAUACGGAAUGGGUUGCGGCAGG
rnacentral:lncRNA from 1 species